CAUAGAAUCUGCUGAGCCAGUGUAUACUCCUUAAAUAAAUCCUCCUGACUCCCAUUUGGCCUCUCCUGUCACUUGGAUUCUGCAACAUUUCUGGUGACCAUGAAUGGACUGGAGACAACCGAGUUACUGACUCCGUUGCCUGCAGGCUGGAGAAGGGCCUGAGAUGCAGGAAUCCUGAGACCUCUGGUGCCACCAGGUUCAUAUCCCAAAGGCUGAGGGAGACAAAUCACCAUGAGUCAUCUGUCACCUGUCAUCAAGUCACCAGGUGUCACCUGUUUUAAUUGGUCCACUUCUCAUCUUUUGAGUGCAAUCUUGUGAAGAAGCAGAAUUGGCAGAGAGUCUCCACUGGCCAAAGAAGCACCCCUUCAGCAGGUUUCUUUAUGGAUUUUAGUAGCAGUCAGUAGCUCCUUAGAGGACCAUAGACGUGGCUUGGAUUCUGGCUUUCUUCAUCAUAAAGUCAUUCAUCAUCUCUCUUUGACUUUAGACUCCCAUGCCUAUAAAAUGGAGCUGAGAAAGCCUAACAUGGAAAGUGUAAGAUUUAGUGAGAUAAAAGUAUCACAAGGAAACACACUAAUACUAUAGUUAUUUUUGCUUACUGUUCUCAACACUCCUACACUUCAAAUAAUCAGGCUCGGACUAUUGGCCUCGAUUGCUGUACUGAUAAGACAUUGGCCACCAUCUUCUGGAUACUUCCUCUGGGAGGCACUCAGCAAAGUCAUGCAGGGCAUUCUGGACUGAGCUCCUUCUGAUGCUGUGCUGCUCUGAAUACAGUGGGAAUGGCCUGAAAAAACCAAAAGAAAAAGGGAAAACACUCAAGGUCUCCUAGCACUAAACACUGACACUGAAUAAAAUUCAUUUGUCUUAAUCCACAAAUUGUGCAUAGUAUUUAUUGAUUCC